rnacentral:rRNA from 1 species
CGCGUAGGCGGCUCGGUAAGUCUGGAGUGAAAUUCCUGCUUUCAAGGUGGGAACUGCUUUGGAUACUGUCGGGCUUGAGUGCAGGAGAGGUAAGUGGAAUUCCCGGUGUAGCGGUGAAAUGCGUAGAGAUCGGGAGGAACACCAGUGGCGAAGGCGACUUACUGGACUGUAACUGACGCUGAGGCGCGAAAGUGUGGGGAGCAAACA